rnacentral:lncRNA from 1 species
GGAAAGCCUCUAAAUUCUGUAAAUCCGCUAGAGCAUACGUACGAUUUUGAGCCCCGCUAGAACUCGUGGCUCCUCUAUCACCUCUAACACAACCCAUUGGUUGUGCACCCCUUCCUGAAUAAGGCAUCGAUGAUGAUAAUGCAAAAAAUGACCCCAUAGGUCGUGCCAUACCCCCUAUACCUCUUCGUGGGCAUUCUCUCAUCAUAUGCCCCAAUAUACCGUACCAAAAGCAAACAUUGGUCCCCA